AUGUGUGAUGCUAGUGAUUAUGUUGUUGGUGUUGUUCUAGGACAAAGAGUUGAUAAGAAAUUAAAUGUUAUCCAUUAUGCUAGCAAAACUCUAGACAUUGCUCAAAGAAAUUAUGCUACCAUUGAGAAAGAAUUUCUAGCAGUUGUGAUUGCUUGUGAUAAAUCCAGAUCUUACAUAGUUGAUUCAAAAGUAAUUUUUCACACUGAUCAUGCUGCUAUUAAAUACCUUAUGGAAAGAAAGAUGCUAAACUUAGACUCAUUAGGUGGGUCCUUUUGCUACAAGAAUUUGACUUGCAUAUUACUGAUAGGAAGGGAGUUGAGAAUCCCGUAG
rnacentral:rRNA from 1 species